CGCAGUUCAAUACCUCGUCUAGCCUGGGUUCCAGUAUUUAAUUUUUUUUACUGACAAACUCAUUUCUCUACCGGGACAGGAUGCUGUGCUGGCUGGAAGUUCCAUUUCUACAGCAAGAAUCCUAUCUGGAAACACAGAAGUUGUCCUCUAGCCUCAGCAGCUCGAACUUUUUUGAUUGUUGUUGCUGCUUUCUCCCAUCACCCCUACCCCCUUUUGACAAAGAUCCAACUGUAAAAAGUCUUACGUAACAGUUCAGGACUACUUCGGUUCUUUUACUGGCAUCUCUACCAUCAACAAUUAAAAAGAAGUGACAGGAGUCAAGGGUGAAGGAUUUGUCACUGACAUACAGCUGGGGCAGUGAAAACUCUUGGCAGUAUAUCAAGAGGCCUCAAGAGGACUAUGAAAACAAUUACUUCUCCAACAUGGAGCAAUGUGGGUUUCAAUAUUUCGUAGAAUCUCUGGAAAAGGAAAAGAGGUAAGUGAAACAGUAAAGGA